AACGCACAUUGCGCCCCCUGGUAUUCCGGGGGGCAUGCCUGUCCGAGCGUCAUUACAACCCUCAAGCCUAGCUUGGUGUUGGGCUCCGCCGCCUGGCGGGCCCUAAAGUCAGUGGCGGUGCCGUCCAGCUCCGAGCGUAGUAACUCUUCUCGCUCUGGAGGCCUGGGCGCGUGCCUGCCAGCAACCCCCCCAAUUUUAUCAGGUUGACCUCGGAUCAGGUAGGGAUACCCGCUGAACUUAA
rnacentral:misc_RNA from 1 species